rnacentral:rRNA from 1 species
GAUGAACGCUGGCGGCGUGCCUAAUACAUGCAAGUCGAGCGACGCGUGGACGGGUGAGUAACACGUGGAUAACCUCCUAUAAGACUGGGAUAACUUCGGGAAACCGGAGCUAAAACGGAUACUUAUAGAUGGUUCCGCGCCGCAUUAGCUAGGUGGUAAGGUAACGGCUUACCAAGGAGACGAUGCGUAGCCGACCUGAGAGGGUGAUCGGCCACACUGGAACUGAGACACGGCCCAGACUCCUACGGGAGGCAGCAGUAGGGAAUCUUCCGCAAUGGGCGAAAGCCUGACGGAGCAACGCCGCGUGAAUGAUGAAGGCCUUCGGAUCGUAAAACUCUGUUAUUAGGGAAGCGGUACCUAAACAGAAAGCCACGGCUAACUACGUGCCAGCAGCCGCGGUAAUAC